GCCAUUGGUUCCUUACUAAUCAAACCGCGGCAAAGAAAUAAACGUCCAACAUGAUUGUUUUUUUUUUUGAAGAGAGAAGUUCAAUUCAGUUCAGUUCAGUUCAGUUCAAUUCAAUUCAGUUCGCUUUAAAUUGUAUAGCGCUUUUAUACAAGUGAGAUUGUCACAAAACAGAUUUACAGAAAUAUAUAAACUUCCAAUCUAAAUUUUAAAUUCAAUUUUAAAUUCAUCCCUAAUGAGCAGGCCAGAGGUGACGGUGGCAAGAAAAAAACCUCCCUGAGAUAUGAGGAAGAAACCUAGAGAGGAACCAGACUCAAAUGGGACCCAUCCUCAUCUGUGUAACAACAUCUUGGCUGAUGAGAUGAUGAGGAGCAGAUGCGUUUGCUGAUUCAAACAGGAGGGGGAGCAGAGUGGAGUGCCAUGCCCAGGGAGACACACAAACACACUCAAACAGGAGGAGAGGGAGAGACAAACACGGGUAACACAAGGAAGGGGGAAAAUAGAUAAACACAAGGAAGUGGAAAAAAAACAGGAGCCUUGGCUGAAACCAUGACAAUCCCCCCUAUCAACAGGAGCCUGCAGAUGACCUGCCAGGCUUGUCAGGAUGGGCCUGAUGGAAAUCCUGGAUGAGAAAGGGGUCCAGGAGGGGUCCAGGGGUCCAGGAACGGGGCACCCAAGUCUGCUCCUCCGGUCCAUGCCCUGUCUGGGGUGGGUUGGGUGCGUUGGGUCUCCUUGACCACUGCCUCAAUGUCUCACAUAACUGUUCCUACCAUGCAGGAAUAAGGGAAGAUGUCAUGGCUCGUGGGGGCCUCUUCAGAGACAAAUUGGUGAGAGAGGGCAUAGGGCUUGACCUUCUUGGAUCUGGGGUGGUACGUGAUGGUGAAGUUGAAGUGACCAAAGAAUAGAGCCCAGCAUGCUUGACAUGAGUUCAGUGGUUAGUCCACAUGAUGGACUUAUGGUUAGUCCACACGAUGAAUGGCCCCCUUGGAGCCAGUAUCUCCAUUUCUCCAGAGCCAGCUUGACUGCAAGCAACUCAUGGUUCCCCA
ensembl:lncRNA